rnacentral:rRNA from 1 species
AGUCAACAUGCCCAGGGGACGUGGAUAACCUCGGGAAACUGAGGAUAAACCGCGAUAGGCCAUGAUUUCUGGAAUGGUUCAUGGCCGAAAUCUAUAUGGCCCCUGGAUUGGACUGCGGCCGAUCAGGCUGUUGGUGAGGUAAUGGCCCACCAAACCUGUAACCGGUACGGGCUCUGAGAGGAGGAGCCCGGAGAUGGGCACUGAGACAAGGGCCCAGGCCCUAUGGGGCGCAGCAGGCGCGAAAUCUCUGCAAUAGGCGAAAGCUUGACAGGGUUACUCUGAGUGAUUCCCGCUAAGGGGAUCUUUUGGCACCUUUAAAAAUGGUGCAGAAUAAGGGGUGGGCAAGUCUGGUGUCAGCCGCCGCGGUAAUACCAGCACCCCGAGUGGUCGGGACGAUUAUUGGGCCUAAAGCAUCCGUAGCCGGUACUGCAAGUCUUCCGUUAAAUCCACCUACUUAACAGUUGGGCUGCGGGGGAUACUACAGCGCUAGGAGGCGGGAGAGGCAAGCGGUACUCAAUGGGUAGGGGUAAAAUCCGCUGAUCCAUUGAAGACCACCAGUGGCGAAGGCGGCUUGCCAGAACGCGCUCGACGGUGAGGGAUGAAAGCUGGGGGAGCAAACCGGAUUAGAUACCCGGGUAGUCCCAGCUGUAAACGAUGCAGACUCGGUGAUGGGCUGGCCUUGUGCCAACCCAGUGCCGCAGGGAAGCCGUUAAGUCUGCCGCCUGGGGAGUACGGUCGCAAGACUGAAACUUAA